rnacentral:lncRNA from 10 species
UCUUCCACCACAACCUUAGGCCAAACUGUCAUCAUCUCUUGCCUGGGCUCCUGCACCAGCCAUUUUAUCUACUCUUAGUAACUUCCAAUUCUUUUGCACAGUAAUCAGGGAAAAAUCCCCACUCUGUUCUUAGUUAGUUACUACUCUCUUCAGAUUUUACCUCCAGGAAACCUUCCCUAAUCUCCUUGACUACAUAAAAAUUCCCAAUUAUAUUCCCCUUUGUUGUAUUAGUGCAGUUAUAAUUUUAUUUUUCUAGUAUGUUUGAUGAAUGUCUGAUUCUCUCUCUAGACCCCACAAGGGCAGAGAUUAUGUCUUUUCUUCCUCAUCAUAGAUACUUGAUAAGUAGUCUUGGAAAUAUCAGACAACUUCAUUCUUAAAUUUAAGUGAAUACUUAAAUUUAAAUGAGUACAUUCUUAACUUUAAGUGAGUAAUUUUUUUUCUAAUACCCCAAGCCUUCUAAUAGUUAUUAUUAGAAACAAACAUACCAGUAAUUGCUUGAUUCAGUUUUGCUAGGGACCAGUAAUAAGCUGAUUACUAUUCAGUUCUUUUUUUUUAUUUUUUAAUUAUUUCCACAACAAAAGCC